rnacentral:rRNA from 1 species
UACGUAGGGUGCAAGCGUUGUUCGGAAUCACUGGGCUUAAAGGGCGCGUAGGCGGGUUCGCAAGUCUGUGGUGAAAGCCUCCAGCUUAACUGGAGAAGUGCCGUGGAUACUGCGAAUCUUGAGGAGGGUAGGGGCGUCUGGAACGGUCGGUGGAGCGGUGAAAUGCGUUGAUAUCGACCGGAACUCCGGUGGCGAAGGCGAGGCGCUGGACCCUUUCUGACGCUGAGGCGCGAAAGCCAGGGGAGCAAACGGG